GGGGAAUUUUUGAUACCUAGCCAGACAAAGUCAUGUUUGUGUUGGCACAAAGUUCCCAACAGCAGCGCCACCUGGCAUGCCUUCUGAUGACUGCAGUGAGUUGAGAGAAAUCACUGCAGACAGAUACGAGGCUUACAACU
rfam:Branchiostoma floridae genomic scaffold BRAFLscaffold_19, whole genome shotgun sequence.